rnacentral:rRNA from 1 species
AACGUAGGUGGCGAGCGUUAUCCGGAUUCAUUGGGCGUAAAGAGCUUGUAGGUGGCUCUGUAAGUUGGACGUGAAAGUCCCGGGCUUAACCCGGGGAGGCCGUUCAAUACUGCGGGGCUGGAGGGCGUCAGAGGGGAGUGGAAUUCCUGGUGUAGCAGUGAAAUGCGUAGAUAUCAGGAGGAACACCCGUGGCGAAAGCGGCUCCCUGGGGCGCGCCUGACACUGAGAAGCGAAAGCUAGGGGAG